rnacentral:rRNA from 1 species
AUUGAACGCUGGCGGCAGGCCUAACACAUGCAAGUCGAGUGGAGCGGCGGACGGCCGAGUAAUGCCUAGGUAUCUGUCUGGGCGUGGGGGAUAACGUCCGGAAACGGGUGCUAAUACCGCAUACUAGCAGAUGAGCCUAGGUCGGCUUAGCUAGUUGGUGGGGUAAAGGCCUACUAAGGCAACGAUCAGUAACUGGUCUGAGAGGAUGAUCAGUCACACUGUAACUGAGACACGGUCCAGACUCCUACGGGAGGCAGCAGUGGGGAAUGUUGGACAAUGGGCGAAAGCCUGAUCCAGCCAUGCCGCGUGUGUGAAGAAGGUCUUCGGAUUGUAAAGCACUUUAGGUUGGGAGGCGUUAACAACAGAAUAAGCACCGGCUAACUUCGUGCCAGCAGCCGCGGUAAUAC